GUUAAUUUAGCAAAAUAAGUGCAUUUGUUUUAAGCGCAAAAGAUAAUUUUUAACU
rnacentral:tRNA from 1 species